UGCAUCGGCCGGCCACAUAUACACUGCACAAGUAAAAAAUAUAUAAAUUUUAUGUUAAAGUACAGGGGAAAACAUCACAUUUCACUUUUCCCCCUUAACCUUUUCGCUCUCUUCAGUUUUUCACCCUCGCUUGAGUGAGAUGUAGUUUUCCCUCAUGCAUGGUAUUUCUUCCACAAUGGGUGAAACUCAACGAGGCGAAACUCCAACCAGCUUCUUCAAUGAAGCAACCUGCUGCUACGACACUUGGUUCUACAGCGUCACAAGCUACUCCUGCAAGACGACUACAGUGACGAGCGUAGAUGUUUUAGCGAGAGAGGGCGCGUCGACGAGCUCCUUCACCCGGUAACUUCUCGUCAGCAACGUAAUGCAAAAUCUCUCUUCUUAGUGAUGAAUAAUUUUUCCAGAGGUUUGCAGAAUAAGCGUUUUGGGUGGAUGGGCUUUGAGCUAAAAUCUUGAAUCCGAGGUUUAUGAAGAUGAAUCUUAUGAAGGUGGAUUGUGGCUUGGAGGUGGCUUGGUGGUGGCUGCUACUAGGUUCUAUAGGCUAAGUAGGAAAACUUAGAGUGAAAGGCCAUUGUGACUAUAAUGACGAUAUCAAGACUUGUUUUAUUUGGAUCUUAGACUCGUGGAUUUUAUUUGAAUAAUUCUAAAUGAAUAAAAUGAUAUCCUGAAUUGUGGAUUGGAUUGCUUGAAA